rnacentral:rRNA from 1 species
GACGAACGCUGGCGGCGUGCUUAACACAUGCAAGUCGAACGGUGAAGGGACCAGCUUGCUGGUUCUGGAUGAGUGGCGAACGGGUGAGUAACACGUGAGUAACCUGCCCCCUUCUUCUGGAUAACCGCAUGAAAGUGUGGCUAAUACGGGAUAUUCUGGGUCUGUCGCAUGGCGGGCCCGGGAAAGAUAUUGCUUCGGUGGGGGAUGGGCUCGCGGCCUAUCAGCUUGUUGGUGGGGUGAUGGCCUACCAAGGCGGUGACGGGUAGCCGGCCUGAGAGGGUGGACGGUCACACUGGGACUGAGACAAGGCCCAGAGUCCUACGGGAGGCAGCAGUGGGGAAUAUUGCACAAUGGGAGCAAGCCUGAUGCAGCGACGCCGCGUGAGGGAUGGAGGCCUUCGGGUUGUAAACCUCUUUCGCCAGUGAAGCAGGCCUGCUCCUUGUGGGUGGGUUGACGGUAGCUGGAUAAGAAGCGCCGGCUAACUACGUG